rnacentral:lncRNA from 1 species
CAAUUGUUCUGCUUUUGUGCACUCUGGAAGUUCUUUUGAAAUUAUAAUCUCCCAUGGUUUUCCAAAGAAAGAAGAGAUUAUCCCUUGAAUAGGUCUAAUUGAUUUAAACUCUUUAGCCAACACUUUGAGCUCAUCAAGACUGACGUCUCCCUUCGCAACCUUCAAAACAAUUGUAAUUAUUAUAAACAAUGACUCUUGAUGUUACAAAUCAUCAGUUCAUCCCUUAUUACCUCCGCCAGGAGGUUAUGUAAUCAUCUGGGUUUAUAUGUGUGUGUGUGUGUGUGUGUGUGUGUGUGUGUGUGUGUGUGUGUGUGUGUGUGUGUGUGUGUGUGUGUGUGUAUGUGUGUGUGUGUGUGUGUGUG